CUAAAGAAGCUCAGACAGCUACUAAUUGAUCGCUUCAGGAAUCAGUGUGGAAUUGUUUACUGCCUUUCAGAAAGUGAAUGUGUUGAGGUCUCUAAAUUUUUAAAUGAGAAAUGCAAGAUCAAAACAGUGUAUUACCAUGCUGGCUUGGCUACCCGGCAGAGAAUAGCUGUUCAAAAGAAAUGGCAUGACGGGGAGGUCCAUAUUGUGUGUGCAACUAUUGCUUUUGGAAUGGGGAUAGACAAACCUGAUGUUCGCUUCGUCGUCCACAAUACAAUGUCAAAAUCUAUUGAAAGCUAUUAUCAAGAAUCUGGAAGGGCUGGAAGAGAUAAUCUUCCUUCAGUUUGCAUUGUUCUUUACCAAAAGAAGGAUUUUAGUAGAGUUGUAUGCAUGAUAAGAAAUGGUCAAG
rnacentral:sRNA from 1 species